rnacentral:rRNA from 1 species
GAAAGAUGGCUUUAGCUAUCACUCUGGGAUGGACCUGCGGUGCAUUAGCUAGUUGGUAAGGUAACGGCUUACCAAGGCGAUGAUGCAUAGCCGAGUUGAGAGACUGAUCGGCCACAAUGGAACUGAGACACGGUCCAUACUCCUACGGGAAGCAGCAGUAGGGAAUCUUCCACAAUGGGCGCAAGCCUGAUGGAGCAACACCGCGUGAGUGAAGAAGGGUUUCGGCUCGUAAAGCUCUGUUGUUGGAGAAGAACGUGCGUGAGAGUAACUGUUCGCGCAGUGACGGUAUCCAACCAGAAAGUCACGGCUAACUACGUGCCAGCAGCCGCGGUAAUACGUAGGUGGCAAGCGUUAUCCGGAUUUAUUGGGCGUAAAGCGAGCGCAGGCGGUUGCUUAGGUCUGAUGUGAAAGCCUUCGGCUUAACCGAAGAAGUGCAUCGGAAACCGGGCAACUUGAGUGCAGAAGAGGACAGUGGAACUCCAUGUGUAGCGGUGGAAUGCGUAGAUAUAUGGAAGAACACCAGUGGCGAAGGCGGCUGUCUGGUCUGCAACUGACGCUGAGGCUCGAAAGCAUGGGUAGCGAACAGGAUUAGAUACCCUGGUAGUCCAUGCCGUAAACGAUGAGUGCUAGGUGUUGGAGGGUUUCCGCCCUUCA